rnacentral:rRNA from 1 species
UACGGGGGGGGCAAGCGUUGUUCGGAAUUACUGGGCGUAAAGGGCUCGUAGGUGGCCAACUAAGUCAGACGUGAAAUCCCUCGGCUUAACCGGGGAACUGCGUCUGAUACUGGAUGGCUUGAGGUUGGGAGAGGGAUGCGGAAUUCCAGGUGUAGCGGUGAAAUGCGUAGAUAUCAGGAGGAACACCGGUGGCGAAGGCGGCUACCUGGACGACAACUGACGCUGAGACGCGAAAGCGUGGGGAGCAAACAGG